ensembl:lncRNA
CCGAGACAGCGGCUGCAGCGGCGGCGGCGGCGGCGGCCCCAGCCGGCGUCAGUCAGACUGGAGCCGCGAAGCCUCAUCGCCCGUAUUAGUGCGCCGACCUGGAAAGCCGCCAGGAGUCCUGCUCGCGGGUCCGCCCCCGCCCGCCGCCGCCGCGCGCCCGGAGCCGCUCGGGGAGCCCGCCAGGAGGGGGGAGCGCGGCCCGCCCCGCGGCCACGUGCGCGGAAGCCCGCGGCGGGGGCGCCUCGGGGACGCCCGGGCGCGGGGUCUCCCGGGCCCCCGGGCGGCGUCCGGGUCCUCCCGUGAGACCCGACUCCCCUCGUCCGCGGCUCGGCCCCCUCGGCUGGGCGGCGGGGGCACCUCGCGUCUCUCUCCCCGAACGUCCUGCCUCUCCACCUAGAGCCCGAGGCCGGAGGACCGUUUCCAGAACUCGAGGUGUGGAACCGACAAAUCGGUUUGGAAACCGCCACCCCCAACAAGUGGCUCUUCCCGACGUGUUUCUGAGUCCCGAGGGUGGCUGUUCCUUGCUGUUUGUCUCUUACUUGCUUUGCAAGAGUAAAGGGGGUCAUUACCCCCAACCGACAGCGCCAGAGUAACUGGUUUGCCCCUGCAUAAGCGGAUGAAAAUCGACUCACUCAAGAGUGCACAGGUCUAGAAGUCCAAGAUCAAGGUGUCGGCAGAUUCGGUGGACAGGCUGAGCCCACUAGACCAGCAAGUUGCCUGGUUGGAAGAUGCAAGUUUCUCCUUGGUGUUUAUUAACAGAUGACUUCUGACGGAAUGAAUCCUAGGAGAGAGAAGAGAUAUUCAAAACUCUUUAAGUGAGAAUAAAAGAACAUCUCUGAAAGCAUUUUCUGUACAAAUAUGUUUCAUGUUCAUAUAGAAUUUAAGAUUAAUAAAGGAUCUUAAUCGUGUCUGUGCUUCUAUCAUACUGCAUAUUGUUUGGUGAGCCUUAGUCUACUUUUAAGACCUCUAUUGAAAAUAGUUAAGCAUAGAAGAAAACAGAUUCAUUACUUCUGGCUUUCCUCUUUAAGAGAGAAGUUUGGGUGGAGGGAAAAAAAAAGUCAUAUUACC